UACGAAGGGGGCUAGCGUUGUUCGGAAUCACUGGGCGUAAAGGGCGCGUAGGCGGCUUUGUAAGUCGGGGGUGAAAGCCUGUGGCUCAACCACAGAAUUGCCUUCGAUACUGCAUGGCUUGAGACCGGAAGAGGUAAGUGGAACUGCGAGUGUAGAGGUGAAAUUCGUAGAUAUUCGCAAGAACACCAGUGGCGAAGGCGGCUUACUGGUCCGGUUCUGACGCUGAGGCGCGAAGGCGUGGGGAGCGAACGGG
rnacentral:rRNA from 1 species